rnacentral:lncRNA from 1 species
GCAGGACAGCAGGGCAGGAAGCAGGAUGGCGAAGGGGAGGGCCAGCCACCGCCCCGGCCUUGGAGCAGGGCCUCCACUGCAGUGUUUCUGCCGGGUCAGGAAAACCAUGAGAAAAAUAUCAAUAAUGGCAUCUUCAUGAAUUUUUCAGAAAGCUGAGUAUUGCCCGGAAUCAUCUUCCUAUAGUCCAAAGGUUUCUCCUGUGGAGGCGUCUUCGAAAUACCAGAUGCGUGACAGAGGACCGGAGGCAUGGAGAGGACGAUCAGUUCUUACAAAGCCAAGAUUUCUCCAGACAAGCAACCAGAGGAGGGGCUGAAGGCUGGACGUCUAGAGAGAAGACUUCCCACCCACAACAUGACUGAGCCUUUCUCUGGAGAAGGCUGGCCCUCAGCUCCUGUGGAGGUCACUGCAUCCGAGUUUUCUUGGCUGCUUGGCUUCCUGGUAAUUGACUUGUAAUUAAGUUGCUCUGGUGGAAGGACCAGACCAUAGGUACCCGUAGUCCCAGGACAGCCACUUCCCUGCAGCAAAGUGACUCACAGCCAACAAUGGGACUUCAUGUCAGCACUCAGGGAGAUAAGGAGGUUUGGUGAUGUGGUUUCUGCUCAACUUUUCCAGGUUCUAUAACUGUGGGCGGGAAAUGAUAAUAAAAUAGAAUUACCAUUUCUAGAACA